rnacentral:rRNA from 1 species
UCUUUUAAUUGAAGGCUUGUAUGAAUGGUUGAACGUAAUAUUAACUGUCUCAAUUUAAUUGUUAAAAUUUUAUAUUUUAGUCAAAAAGCUAAAAUAUUAUUAAAAGACGAGAAGACCCUAUAGAUCUUUAUAAUUUAUUAAUUAAUUUUAUAUAGUAUAAUUAAAAUUUAAUUAAAAUAAUUAUUUUAUUGGGGUGAUAAUAAGAUUUGAUAAACUCUUAUAGAUUAAUACAUAAAUUAAUGAAAUUUUGAUCCAUUAUUAAUGAUUAGUAGAUUAAGUUACCUUAGGGAUAACAGCGUAAUUUUUUUAGAGAGUUCAUAUCGAUAAAAAAGAUUGC